GCUUAUGGAAAUGUGGAAAUAUGUAUUUGUAUUAUGCAAGUGCCUAUUAAAAGCAUUUGACAAAAAGAAGACGGGGGGCGGCAGCCGGAGAGGUAGGAGAGGGCGUGGCUUGAUUGGUGCAACUGUUGCAUGGGCCAAAGUUGAAUUUCUUAAUGCAUUUCCGUUGCUGCAAUUGAAGUCAAACUCGAGCGAAGGACGAAGGACCUGCUAAUGUACAGCAGCAGCUAAAAUAAUAAGCGCGAGUCGGCUGUAGCCGACCAGGCGAUGCUCUACUUGUGGUGGGAAGGCUGCUGAAGGGUAUUGAAAGCACAGCGAGAGAAAAAGAUUCCCUUUGAUUUAUGGCACAUUAGGGCAAGAUAAUUAUGCCAAAGUGAAAUCCUAUACAAUAUAUGCCCUAUCUAUGCUAUGCCUUUCUAUAACUAUAACCAUAUAUUUUAUGUAUUUUUAUUUCCAUCAAAACUGGCAACUAAUAUACCCCAUCUGCAACUUGCUUUACGGCGCAUAAGUAUUUGCUGCAUGCAACUGAAGGCAAGAAAUAAAAAUCAAGCCUUUGGCUUUUUAUGUUGUGCAUUAGCCUGCGCACAAAAUGUAA